rnacentral:rRNA from 1 species
GACGAACGCUGGCGGCGUGCUUAACACAUGCCAGUCGAACGAAAAGGCCCUGCUUUUGUGGGGUGCUCGAGUGGCGAACGGGUGAGUAACACGUGAGUAACCUGCCCUUGACUUUGGGAUAACUUCAGGAAACUGGGGCUAAUACCGGAUAGGAGCUCCUGCUGCACGGUGGGGGUUGGAAAGUUUCGGCGGUUGGGGAUGGACUCGCGGCUUAUCAGCUUGUUGGUGGGGUAGUGGCUUACCAAGGCUUUGACGGGUAGCCGGCCUGAGAGGGUGACCGGCCACAUUGGGACUGAGAUACGGCCCAGACUCCUACGGGAGGCAGCAGUGGGGAAUAUUGCACAAUGGGCGGAAGCCUGAUGCAGCAACGCCGCGUGCGGGAUGACGGCCUUCGGGUUGUAAACCGCUUUCGCCUGUGACGAAGCGUGAGUGACGGUAAUGGGUAAAGAAGCACCGGCUAACUACGUG